UCUCUCUCAUCGCGACGUGUGUGACGUUUUCAGUCGUUCGUCUGGCAGAUUUGCUUUUUCUAGUGCGCUUUAGACCGGUUUUCUUUGUUCUCUUCAGUCAAUUUUGCCUUCAUUUUUGCGCGUUGUUUUAGCAGAUUCACAAAUAAAAAAUGGCAGCCGAGACCACUAAAGUUACUAGGGAUGGUACCAUGGAGGUUACUGCCAAGGAGGGAUUGGCAUAUUUGGAAAAGGAGAAGCCGGAUCUUGCCAACAAAAUUAAACAACAAUUGAAGGAUGAUCAGGCUGAAAAACCCUCAAAUGGAUCUGGGGACGCACCAGUUACAGAAUCAAAUGGAACUAAAGUUACAAGAGACAAUACCAUGGUCCAAACAGCUGAGGAAGGGAAACAAUUUUUAGAAAAGAGGGAGGUGUGAAUGAAGAUGCUAAAACACGAUCGCAAGAAAAAGAACUUAAUGAUUCAAAAUCAGAAGAGAAAGAGGCAACCAAAAGAUCUGCUGAUGAGCAGACGGAGGAAACUGACGAAGCGAAAAAACAAAAAGUCGAGGAAAGCAAUGGCAGUGAAGCCAAGCAAGAGGAGGAACCAGCGGCAGAGGCUGAAUCCAAGGAAUAGGAGGCUUUAUGUCUCAAUAAUUCUUUGAACUUCUGGGCAUUGUUUUGCCAUAAAGCAUUUUCUUUUCUUGGUUGUCAUCGAAAAUGGUUCUUUUUUUCAACAUCAGUUAGUUUUCUUACAUUUUGGAGUUUUUCAUGAUUUUAUUAACUGCUUUUAGCUGUUUUGAUGGGAUUUAGCUUAUCAGAGCUAUACAAGUUUUCGAUUAUUUUCUUGGUGUAUUUUGUAAUUUUUAAUUAAGUGCACAAUAGGUUUUUCAUUUUUUCUCGUUUAUUCAUUUUCACAUUUCUGCAAGCUAAACAGAAGCUGCUCGAUCCCCAGGUAUUCACUAACAUUGCAAUCCUGCCAUUUUUGAAAUUUCGUUGAAAAUAGUGUCAAUCAUUGUGAAAUUCUGCUAAUCACUUGUAUUAUUUGAGAGAUUCUCUCUUAAUUAGCAUAACUAGUAAUUUGUGUGUUUCCCAUUAAUUAUAUCGAUGGUUAUUCUGCUCAAACAAAAUUUUUCUACUCAGUUGUCUCUGCCAUACUGCAUUCCAUAUCACGUUAUGUUACUUUUUAUACAUUUUUGUACAUAGGUUGUCACUAGAUAAGAUUUGUGGCAUUAUACAAAUCAAAUUCAGCCUCCCCUCGUGUGUUCCUGUCCAGUUUUGUCAUUUAACUUCUUCCUUUUUGAAGCAUCUGAAGUUUCUUUGGUUUUGAGCUGCUUUUUACAUCAUUACUGCUUAUCAAGGAAACAAUGACAUAAUAAACCCUUGUUCUGUGCAAGUUUGUAAA